GACGAACGCUGGCGGCGUGCUUAACACAUGCAAGUCGAACGGAAAGGCCCUGCUUUUGUGGGGUGCUCGAGUGGCGAACGGGUGAGUAACACGUGAGUAACCUGCCCUUGACUUUGGGAUAACUUCAGGAAACUGGGGCUAAUACCGGAUAGGAGCUCCUGCUGCAUGGUGGGGGUUGGAAAGUGUCGGCGGUUGUGGAUGGACUCGCGGCUUAUCAGCUUGUUGGUGGGGUAGUGGCUUACCAAGGCUUUGACGGGUAGGCGGCCUGAGAGGGUGACCGGCCACAUUGGGACUGAGAUACGGCCCAGAAUCCUACGGGAGGCAGCAGUGGGGAAUAUUGCACAGUGGGCGGAAGCCUGAUGCAGCAACGCCGCGUGCGGGAUGACGGCCUUCGGGUUGUAAACCGCUGUCGCCUGUGACGAAGCGUGAGUGACGGUAAUGGGUAAAGAAGCACCGGCUAACUACGUG
rnacentral:rRNA from 1 species